AACAAUAAAGCAACCUGCCGGUAAGCUCAAUAUCAUUUUCAAUCCCAAACACCGCCAAUAGAGACAAAAACCAUACACCAUAGAAAUACAGUGAAUGAUUUAGGACCACAGUCUGAAGUUAUAAAGGUUUUACAACCAUAACGAAGUUACAACAACCACCACCACAACUUGACCAAAGCAAUACGUACAAAGAAACAUAGAUAUCAUACAUAAAAACUAAGCCCCUCUUUUCCCCCACCAUCGUCUACAAAUCUACAAACAGAUAACAACACCAACCAGAAUCAUC
rnacentral:lncRNA from 1 species